UACGUAGGUGGCAAGCGUUGUCCGGAUUUACUGGGCGUAAAGGAUGCGUAGGUGGAUAUUUAAGUGGGAUGUGAAAUACCCGAGCUCAACUUGGGUGCUGCAUUCCAAACUGGAUAUCUAGAGUGCAGGAGAGGUAAGUGGAAUUCCUAGUGUAGCGGUGAAAUGCGUAGAGAUUAGGAAGAACACCAGUGGCGAAGGCGACUUACUGGACUGUAACUGACACUGAGGCAUGAAAGCCAGGGGAGCAAACGGG
rnacentral:rRNA from 1 species